GGGCGAUCCACGGCGCGGCUGGCAGGCCGCGCCGCUUCAGCCGGCACGCAAGAGUCCGCAGGGACUCUUGCUGGUCCGACUUCAGCCUUCGUCCU
rnacentral:tRNA from 1 species